AAGCGAAUAACUUAAUGGAAAAGUAUUAGCUUGAUAAGCUAAGAAUAAAGGUUCAAUUCCUUUUUUGCUAA
rnacentral:tRNA from 1 species